rnacentral:rRNA from 1 species
AUUGAACGCUGGCGGCAUGCCUUACACAUGCAAGUCGAGCGGCAGCGCGGGGGCAACCCUGGCGGCGAGCGGCGGACGGGUGAGUAAUACAUCGGAACGUGUCCUUUCGUGGGGGAUAACCAGUCGAAAGACUGGCUAAUACCGCAUGAGAUCUCACGAUGAAAGCGGGGGACCGCAAGGCCUCGCGCGAUUGGAGCGGCCGAUGUCGGAUUAGCUAGUUGGCGGGGUAAAAGCCCACCAAGGCGACGAUCCGUAGCUGGUUUGAGAGAACGACCAGCCACACUGGGACUGAGACACGGCCCAGACUCCUACGGGAGGCAGCAGUGGGGAAUUUUGGACAAUGGGCGCAAGCCUGAUCCAGCCAUGCCGCGUGUGUGAAGAAGG